rnacentral:rRNA from 1 species
GUGCCAGCAGCCGCGGUAAGACGAACCGUGCGAACGUUGUUCGGAUUCACUGGGCUUAAAGGGCGCGUAGGCGGACCCAAAAGUCCGGGGUGAAAUCGUUCGGCUUAACCGGACAAUUGCCUUGGAUACUGUGGGUCUCGAGGGAGGUAGGGGCAUGCGGAACUUCCGGUGGAGCGGUGAAAUGCGUUGAUAUCGGAAGGAACUCCGGUGGCGAAAGCGGCGUGCUGGAUCUCUUCUGACGCUGAGGCGCGAAAGCCAGGGGAGCAAACGGGAUUAGAAACCCUUGUAGUCC